rnacentral:rRNA from 1 species
GUCUAGGCCAUGACACCCUGAAUAAGCCUGAUCAUGUCUGAUCUCGGAAGCUAAGCAGGGUCAGGCCUGGUUAGUACUUUGAUGGGAGACCACCUUAGGAAGACCCAGAAGCUAUAGGCA